rnacentral:lncRNA from 1 species
UUUAUCCAGCUCUGGCCAUAGACAACCAAGCUCACCUGUACGUAUUCAACAACGGCACCGUGGAUGUCACAAUCUCAAGGCUCGAUGCCUGGAGCAUGAAGAAAGCUCAACUUGUUUCUGCCAAUAUAUAGAAAACCCCAUAUCAAUUGACAAUGUAGUUUUGAAUAAGGCUGGACAGAUCAUUGAUUACUCUCUAUUUGUACACAAAGUCUCUGGUGCAAUAACAGAGCUCUAUUUGCUCAAAAUUGAACAGAUCAUUGAUUACUCUCUAUUUGUACACAAAGUUUCUUGUGCAAUAACAUAGCUCUAUUGGUCAAAAUUGAUGUUUUGUCAGAAUAAUUUAUGGUAUUUCAUUUUGAUUUCCUCAAUAAUUACAAUUGAAUUUUUCGAAUCAGAUUAAAAAAAUUACAUUUAUUGUAUAACUUAAUUUCAACUAUCAUUUAACAUUUAGAAAACUGGAUUCAUGUUAAUUCAAAGUUUUUCUCUCUUUUUUGGUCAACUCAACACGUAUAAUAAGUAUUAGUAUUUCACCAUAUACUUCUCUGACUUUCACUCUUUUCGGAGCCGCAUUUUCCUUUAUCGGCAAUGAGUACUUGUUUGAACAUCGAUCAGCAGCAGCAAAAAGUCUUCUCUUUUUUUUUUGUUAUUCGCAAUUAUCAUUUCUUUCUCUUUCUGCAGCUGCUUCUUCAUAUAGCUUUCUUUCAUUCCAUUAUUCUAUACUAUUCAAUCCCAUCAAACCUUACAUGUUAAGCACAAGUGAAGUACUACUUAAAAUAGAAUAACUAAAAUAAGUAAAGUAUUAUCUCAUAUGAAACAACUAAUACAAAUAGAAUAGUUAUUUUGAAUAGAAUAACCACUUCACUUGGAUGACAACGAAAGCAAUUCGAAAUGAGUGGCAAAACUCAUGGAUUACUUUCAUCUUGAGAUGUUCUGAAGAAUUUGAUUUGGUGGCUUAGAUAUGGAGGUAGUUAAGAGGCAUUCCUCUUAACUUUUUUUUGAAGUACAAGUGUUUCACCCUCAUACAUUGUUCUCGUAUACCUAUUCUCGUACAACUUCUUAUCCUAUACUUGUUCACGUACAACUUCUUCUCUUUUACCUUUUCACGUGUACCUCUUUUCUAUUACCUUUUACUUGAGAACAAGUCUUAUUACAUCAAAUUACAGUAAUGGUUAUUCAUAUUAAUGUUCUUCAUAAUAAUGUCAUUCAUUAUGAGCAUUAAACCCAAUUCUUAAGUAACCGCCACUUUUAGCACUAUAUAUAAAACCUCACAAUUCAUUUAGGGGGCUUUUAUCUCCCCGUCCGAGCUAACACAUUCUUAACUUGAGAGCUUUUCUCUCUAAAUCAUCUCUCUAAUUCUUUUCUUAUUAUCUUCCACUUGCCACAACAUUCAAUACUUUGGGAACUGCUCCAAUCUUCCGCUCUGUCGUCUCUGACGCAUCCUUUUACUUGUUUAAAAUGCUUCCUCUCCUUAUUACAAGAACCCCAUUUACAAUGUGUUAGAUGAAUUUGACGUCUAAGCAUUGCAGAGGAGCAUGGGAGACAAGGUAAGCAAUUUCUUUUCAAGCUCAAACCCACUUGCUUUUCAGCUUAGAAUGGCCCAUAAGAUUAAAAUAGUUGCAGAGGGAUUUGGUGAGAUUGCUGCUUUGAAAAACAAUUUUCAUCUCACUGAAAGACAUGAUGGCACAAGGCAUGUCGCGCCCUUGGAUAGGGAGACCCACUCCUUUGUUCAAGCAUCAGAUAUUAUUGGUAGAGAUGAAGACAAAGAAAAAAUUAUAAAAACUUUGCUGCAAGAUCCAACUGAUGGGGAAGACAUAUCUGUCCUUCCUAUAGUUGGAAUUGGAGGUCUUGGAAAGACUGCCCUUGCAAAAUUGGUGUUCAACGAUGAGUGUGUAGAUAGGCAUUUUGAGUUGAAGAUGUGGGUGUGUGUUUCAUAUGAUUUUGAUUUGAAGCAAUUAAUGAUAAAAAUCAUUAAAGCUGCAAAGGGGGUACUUAAUGGAGAUUGUAGUAACAUGGAUUUAGAACAAUUACAAAAAGUCUUACGAGUUGUUUAGAUGAAAAAAAGUAUUUACUUGUUUUGGAUGAUUUAUGGAAUGAGGACCGUAUCAAAUGGGAUGAACUUAAACAGUUGUUAGUGGAAGGAGGUAGGGAAAGUAGAAUUGUAGUCACCACUCGUAGUAACCAAGUUGCAGAGAUCAUGGGUACAAUCCCAACAUACAAAUUGCAAGGUCUUCCAGAAAAGGAAUCUUUGUGUUUAUUUCUCCAAUUUGCUUUCAAGAAAAGGGAUGUGAAACAAUAUCCAAAUCUAGGAAAAAUUGGGGAAGAAAUAGCCAAAAAAUGCAAGGCAGUUCCUUUGGUUUUGAAAAUACUUGGGAGCUUACUUCUCUCCAAACCGUCGGAACAUGAUUGGAAACUUGUGAGAGAUAGUGAGAUGUGGAAAUUAGUGCAAAAGGAAAACAACAUGUUUCCUGUUUUGAAAUUGAGUUAUGAUCAAUUGCAUCCAUAUUUGAAACAAUGUUUUGCUUAUUUUUCAAUUUUUCCAAAGGAUGCCGAAUUUUCUGACGGGGGGUUGAUCCAAUUUUGGAUGGCUCAUGGUUUGCUUCAAUCUUCCAUUGAAAAUAAAGAACCGGAAGACAUUGGUAGGCAGUAUUUGAUUGAUCUAUCAUUAAGAUCUUUUUUAUAAGAUUUUAUCCAAAAUAUUUCCAAUAAUUAUUUUAAAAUGCAUGAUCUUUUACAUGAUCUUGCAUUAUCAGUGGCAGAGAAGGAGUGGUCUAUGUCAAACUCUUUCAAGCAAAAUCUUACUCAAAGGGUUUGACAUUUGUGCCUUGACAAUUCGAAUUUCCUUGAGGGAAGCCCUUCUAAAGUCUUUGAUAUUGAUAAAUUACGUCACAUGCGUACAUUUCGAUUUUAAGAUAUGAAAGAGGGUCCUAGCAAUGAAUCUUUUAUUGAAAAAUGCCUUUCCGCAUUUCAUGAUUUAUGAGUGUUGGAUUUACGUAGAUCUUGUAUCAAGGCAUUGCCCAACAAGAUUGGUAAUUUGAAGCAUUUAAGGUAUCUCGACCAAAGCGGCAAUUUCCAUAUUAAGAAACUUCCAAAUUCUAUAUGUAAAUUACAAAAAUUGCAAACUCUGCUUUUGAUGUGUUUGGGAAUUGAAAAGUUGCCUUGAGAUAUGAGAUUCAUGAUCAAUAUCCGGAUGUUAAAAAUAAGUACGAGACAAAGGGUUCUAACUGAGAAUGAACUUGAGCAAUUGAAAUCUUUUCGGUGUUUAGUAAUUGCUUGUUGUGAAAAUCUGGAACAUUUGUUUGAAGGAAUCGAGAACCUUACGUCCCUUGAAACAAUAAUGAUAGGUAAUUGCACAAGCUUGAUGUCACUUCCAACUGGCAUGAAAUCUUUAACAGCAUUAAAAUAUCUGAUAAUUUCUUUUCUUUUCUCCAAUUUCAUAUAAAUGUUAGCAAAUGAUCAGUCCGAUAAUUAGGUACGAGUUAAGUUCUUUUCUUUUCUAUUUUUUUUCAAUUGUCUUCAAAAAAAUUUUGUAAAUCCUUGUUAAUUAUUGGCAGGGCAAAUCACCAUCUCUUGGCAGGUGGACUAAAGGACUCUUCCGGUAUCUAAAGGAUAAAUCUUAAAAUUGAGCGCAGGCAUAUUCUUGGCUGGCCACAUGUCCUGCAUGUUGUGUUGUAAUUUCUUUGUUCUGUUGAUUGUAUCAAAUCUUGGGAAUUUUAUUUUUCGUUCCUCCGUUUAUUAUUUUCAUGAAUGCAAAUAGGGGUAUUGUGAGUUUUGCCCAUCUUACGUAAACCAUCUUUAGUUCUGCAAAAGAAACAAGGGGUUGCUGUUAUGGUUGGGUGAGUAUGUUUGUUUCUCUCCAAAAUUAGAGACUUUGGAGAGAACUUCAUUAACUCCUACAAUGCCUUGUACUUUCAAAUCAGACAUUUUGUUGUUUCAUAAGUUAUAAUAAUUGAAAUCCUGUUAUAGUUUGCUCAUCUAAUUUUACAUUCCCUAGCCCGUGUCACUAGAAACUAAUUUCUGCUUCUAAGUGUAGACAGUUUUCAUAUAGCAUAAAUAAUUUCGUAAUAUUUCAUGGAUAUUUUCAACAAAAGAGAAAAGAAGCAAUUCCAGAAAAAAAUAUAUAAUUGAAUAAAUAAAAUAAAAAUCAAAUUUUAAAACAGCAGAUUAGGAAGCUGUCGCCAGAGUUACUUAGCUCGACGUGUGAUUAGGUUUCAUUGCGUCCUUCCCAAGCUUCCUUCUCAUUUCGCGGCUGCUUCUUGAAUCAAUCUGAAUUCUAUUUGCUUCAAUCAGUGGCAACAAAUAUCAUUUCACACAAAUUCUCUUCCUAUCCUCCUCCUUGUCAAGACCACCACCUCAAAAAAAUCAUGGCUGAAUCCUUCGCAUUUAACCUUGUAGAAAAAGUAACUUAGUAACUUAGAAAAAGUCACUGCAAUGAAAUUUUAAUUUAAAAAAGAAUCAACCUGAUGAUUAGGUAAGGCCUAAUUUAGACAACCAAGCUCACCAAUUGCUUUGACAAGGUCAGGAAGGAAGAGAGAUUCUCUAUCUAAUUCAUGUAUGCAUAACAGCAGUAACAGCAAACUGAUCAAUCAGCUUUUUACUAAUUAUGAUCUAGAAAGUUGGAUAAUCUUUUAUUUUUACAGUUAUUCACUCAUUCUACGAUUUUCCUUUUGCUGUUUCAACCAGUAAAAUUGAAAGAAUAUUUCAAGUAUUUUUCUUAUUUGAAUUCUUUGAAGAUAUUCAUUCACGUGCUUUUGAUUGUUAAUCAUAUGUUAGGGAUGUGACCAAAAACAAAUACAUAGUAAUUAUUAAUAUAAAAGAAAAGAUUUUCAUUAAUUAGGUAUUGAAGUAAACAGGAGAUCUCUUGCAUACUUGAUACUCGCUUUGAUAGGUUUCAAAUAGAACUUGACACCACAAACUUUUCAGCAAAUACUUACAUAUAUUGUCUAGAAUAAUGAUGAUAUUUCCAUUUAAACUUACUGAUUACAUUAUCAUUUUUUUUUAUUGAUUCAUUUCAACUCCCACUAGUGAUGCAUCUACAACAAUUAAUCCAUUUUUAUUGAUUGAAGCCCGUUAAAGUUUUGGCCCAUCAAAUCCAAACACAGCUUGGUUGCACAAAAUUCAUUUCUUUUUUUUAUUAUUUAUAUGACGCAAGUUGUAUAGCAAAUUGUUGUAUUUUAGUAUUUAAUUAAUAUGAGGUUUGCACCGGGAAGCACCACACCCAACUGCUCUGCCCUUUUCCAAGUCAACAUAAUUUUCCUUGCAUCUUUCUUUCCCUUUUUUUCUCUUUUCCCAGCUGCUUCGACCUGCAUUAUUGUUUGACGAUCGUCGGUAGAAACAGACAACAUUUCGUAGAAAUUCUCUUCCUCUCCAACAGUUUCUUCCUUUCUUUUCCUCCUCCUUGUUUAAUUCCAUCAAGAAACCUCAUCAGCAGAAGACUUACCACAAUUUCCCCCCACCAAUAAUGGCUGAAUCCUUCGCAUUUAACAUUGCUGAAAAUGUCCUCUCAAAACUAGCCAAUAUUGCAUAUCAAGAAAUUCGCCUUGCCAGGGUGGUCCAGAGUGACCUUGAAAAGCUUAAGACGACUUUAACUACCAUCAAAGCUGUGCUUUUUGAUGCUGAAGAAAAACAGGCUCAUGACAGUCAGCUGCGGGUUUGGCUUCAAGAGCUUAGGGAUGCCAGUUAUGAUGCAGAAGAUGUGUUGGAUGAAUUUGAAAUCGAAGCACUGCGGAAGCAAGUUGUGAAACAGAAGAGCAUCGGAAAGCAGGUAAGCCAUUUCUUUUCAAGCUCAAACCCACUUGCUUUUCGGUUUAGGAUGGCACAUAAGGUUAAAAAAGUUACUGAGAGAUUCGUUGAGAUUGCUGCUUUGAAAAAUAAUUUUCAUCUCAUCGAGAGACAUGAUGGCCCUGGGCAUGUCGUGCGCUUGGACAGGGAGACCCACUCCUUUGUGCAGGCAUCGGAGGUCAUUGGCAGAGAUGAAGAGAAAGAGAGAAUCAUAAAAAUGUUAAUGCAAGAUCCAGCUGAUGCGGAAGACAUUUCCGUCCUUCCCAUAGUUGGAAUCGGAGGUCUGGGGAAGACCGCCCUUGCGAAAUUGGUAUUCAAUGAUGGAAGGAUAGAUAGGCAUUUUGGGUUGAAAAUGUGGGUGUGUGUUUCAGAUGACUUUGAUCUGAAACGAUUAGUUCUGAAAAUCAUGAAAGCUGGAAAGGAGGGUGAUGGAGACCUUGGUAACAUGGAUUUGGAGCAAUUACAGAAGGUGUUACGAGAUUGUUUGAAGGGUAAUAAAUAUUUACUCAUCUUAGAUGAUGUGUGGAGUGAGGAUAAUAGAAAAUGGCAAGAACUGAAACAAUUGUUAGUGGGAGGAGCUAGUGGAAGCAAAAUUGUGGUCACCACUCGCAGUAACCAAGUUACAAAGAUUGUCGGCACAAUCCCUCCACAAAAUUUAGAAGGUCUUCCUUACGAUCAAUCUUUAUCUUUGUUUCUCAAAUUUGCAUUCAAGAGAGGAGAAGAGAAACAACAUCCCAAUCUUGUAAAAAUUGGGGAAGAUAUUGUUAAAAAAUGCAAAGGGGUUCCUUUGGUUGUGAAGACAAUGGGGAGUUUACUUUUCUCCAAAAUUUCAGAACAUGAGUGGAGACUUGUGAAAGAUAGUGAAAUGUGGCAAUUAAUGGAAAAAGAAAAUGAAAUAUUUUCUGUUUUAAAACUAAGUUAUGAUCAACUGCCUCCUCAUUUAAAGCAAUGUUUUGCUUAUUAUUCAGUCUAUCCAAAGGAUUAUGCUUUUGUUGAAUUUGAGUUAAUCCAAUUUUGGAUGGCUCAUGGUCUUCUUCAAUCCUCUAAAAAAAAUGAAGAUCCGGAGGAUAUUGGGCGGCAGUAUUUGAACCACCUAUCAUCAAGGUGUUUUUUCCAAGAUUAUCAGGAUAAAGGUUUUCUUAUUGAAUUUAAAAUGCAUGAUCUUUUGCAUGAUCUUGCAUUAUCAGUAGCAAAGAAUGAGUGUUCUACACUAAAUUCUUUCGAGCAAAAUAUUCCUCAAGGAGUUAAACAUGUGUACCUUGAUAACUGUGAUUCUCUCGAGGAAAAAGCCUUUGAAUUACUUAAUAAAGCAGGACAUGUGCGCACAUUUAUGCUUCCAGACGUGGAUACAGGUCCAGGCAACAAAUCUUUUAUGGAAACAUGCCUCAAGAGGUUCCAACAUUUGCGGGUGCUUAAACUAUCCAGAUCUAAUCUCGAGAUAUUGCCCAAAGGGAUUGGCAAUUUGAAGCACUUAAGGUUUCUCUAUCUAUGCGAUAAUCCCAACAUCAAGAAGCUUCCGAACUCCAUUUGUAAGUUGCAAAAUUUGCAGACUUUGUUGUUUGCCGGUUGUUACAAAAUUGAAGAGUUACCUAGAGAAAUGAGAUACUUAAUCAAUCUCAGAUUUUUAUCAUUAACUACAAAACAAAGGGAUUUACGUGGAUUAGAACAUUUGAAAUCUCUUCGAACCUUAUGUAUUAUAAACUGUAAAAAUCUGGAAUAUUUGUUCGAAGGGAUUCAAAACCUCACAUCCCUUCAAACAUUAUGUAUCUCUGGGUGCAGAAAUUUGACAUCACUGCCACAUGGUUUGAAAUAUCUAACAGCAUUACAAACUCUAUCAAUUAGGGUUUGUGUAAAGCUUGAUUUGAAUAUGACAAUGGGAUUCGAAGGGAAAGAAGAGGAUAAUCAAGACUACCUCGUUGAUAGUGGUUUGUGUCUUCAAAGAUUAGGGAUUACUGGACCGUUACCAAAUCUGGAGGCUCUACCCCAAUGGCUUCUACAAGGAUCUGCCAACACUUUAAAGCAGUUGGACAUUGAACGAUGUGAGAACCUCACAACCACACCAGAGUGGAAAACUCUUACAUCACUUGAAAGGCUUUGGAUUUUCAAGUGCCCAAAGUUAUCAACUCUACCAGAAAAGAUGCAGCGCCUCAAAAGAUUGUCGAUUAUAGAGUGUCCUAUCUUGAGUGAAAGAUGCAAACCGGAAACGGGAGAGGAUUGGCCAAGCAUUGCUCAUGUCUCCCGUAUAUGUCUGGACGGUGCUGAAAUUUCAUCUAAAGAAUUAUCAACCCCAUGAUUCUGUAAGAGUUAAUAUUUUUCUCGCUUCUUCUUUUCUUCUCUUUUUAUUUUUUUUAAUUUGCUUUCCAUAUUUCAUAUUUUUCAUUUGAAAUGUAAAAAAAAUAACAUAUAAAAUGGAGUAAAUAAUGCAUACUUCUAACACAUUUUUAAUAUUUUUUAUUUUUUGUUUUUUUCGUAAAGCAUGCCAAAUAGAUGAUAAAAGUGUUUUUAAACUUUUAGAACUUCUAAAUUUGAUACCACUAUUGUUAGCCUAGAAUGGCAUUUAAGAUUCAUAACUAGUUAAUAUGAUCAGCUAACUACUUAUAUGUUACUUCAUGCCUUGUUAGUAAUAUCACUAUUAUUUCACAAUGAACUAGAAACAAAAUCAAGCAUAUAUAUGAACAUUUGGAUAAAUGAUAAAUAAAUAAAUACAUAAAUAUAUAAAUAUAUAUUUAUUUACAUACAAAAUUACGUCUUUUACUUGAAAAUGUUGGCCAAUUUAGCAUUGUUUGGAAAAUGUCCUAAUUUGGCUUGUGAAUGAGUGGCAGGGCAUACCUCCAUUUUAUUGGUAUUCGGACUGGAAUCCCCCCUUGGUGACUGGACUGCAGUACGGUUGAUGUAAUCCCUCAAAUAGAGUGGAGGGGUGUGCUUGGCUUCCCAUUUCUCCUAAUUGUUGGCUUUGUAUAUUUUAUCUAUCUACUUGUAUUAUGAACAUAUUUGAUGUUUGUUUGUGUACUUAAAUUCCUUUGCUUUGAUUGUUCAUGUAAUCGCUACUCUUUAUUUGUUGGUUUGUUGAAUUGCCUUUGGAUUCAAAAUUUGGUUUGGUUUGGUUGGGUGAUCUAUGUUUGUGUUUAGUUUUUCUCCAAAAUAACUUCAUUCCCUAAUUAGAUUGUGUUGGAAUCUCUUUCCUUCCGAACUAAAUAAAAACCUUUAAUUUGUUCUUUUUCAUUCCCUAAUUCAAUCAAUCACCGUCAAAGUAAAUUUAUUCCAUUGAAAUUAACUUUUGCUUGCAACUGUAGGAUCUCAAAUCAGGAUUUAGUAUGGCAUAUAUAAACUGGUAGUAGUCAUUCUUAUUUCAUGGAUUUUUUUGGAAAAAAAAAAAGAAAUUUGAAUGAAUAAAAUACUAAUGCAUAUGAUAAAUUAUAUUUUAAUGCCUAUUUUUUUAUCAAAAUGAUAGAGGAUUUAUGCGUAAAUAUUUACAUGCAUACACUAAAAGCAAGAUAUACAAAUACCAAGUUUUUUUGAGUGAUUAUCAAUUAGAAUCUUCAGAUUAAUUUCAUAUAUAUCAAUAAUAAAAUUUUUAAACUUCAUAAAUAAAUUUAUAAUAUUAUUAUAUGUCUAUUUAAUAACAACAACCUUAUAAAUAUAUCAUCGAGGAAAGUCUUUAAUUUCACAAGUCUGUUUGUAGUUUAAGUGCCUCAUUUUUGUUGAAAUAUUUUUUGAAAAGUUUUUUACACUGUUUCAAUUUGUAUUUACAAAGAAUUCUUGAUAUUCUUUGCUUUUAUCUCUCUUUUUAUUAAGGCAUAAUAUUCAAAAAAGUCUUUAAAUUAUUUAGAAAAAUUUAAAUAAGUCCUUAAAAAACCCACCAACUCCCUAUAUUCAUGAAUUUUAUUCAAUUUAGUCUAUAUACUCAAAAUCAAAAUAAUUUAAUUUCUUGAUUUUAAAAAUUACUUCAAUUUAGUCAUUCUCUCUAACGACAUUUAAUUUUAUCGUUAAAAUGGGUGACGUCAAUGCUGACAUCAGCACUAACAUGGCAUAUUUUAAUAAUGUGGUAUGCCAGGUGGCAUUAACUUAAUGAUGUGGUAGUGCCACGAGGUAGAUCAAAAAUUUUUUUAAAAAAUUUUUGUGCCACGUCAUAAGAAUUAAAUUGAACAAAAAUAUAUAGUAGACAGAUUAAAUUGAACAAAAUUGAGAUGCAAAAAGACUAAAUUGAAAAAUAUAAAUCUUUAAGUAAAUUAUAGAUAUACUUAUUAAUAAGCCAAAUGUUUAAGUAUAAAAGAAUUAUGAUGUUAAAAAUAUAUAUAUUUUUUCUUACUUGAUUAUUUGAUUUUAUAAUAUAUACAUUACUUUUUUUUUGCAAAAAUUAAGUAUGAAUUCUUCUUCUAUAAACAAAUUCCGAAAAAAAUGUAAAGCUUAAAGUCAAAUUUAGAUGAAUAACUUGUAUUAUGUUAGAAUAAAAUAAUAUAAAAGAACUAAAUAAAUUCUUUUUUUUCUAUUUAUAAUAGUAUAAAAAUUUAAAAUUUAUUUGAUUUAAUUUUUAAUUUGAGAUGAAUUCAAAUUAGCAAAAUAGGUUGAUUUAGUUACAACUUUCACAAUUUACAAAUACCUAUUUUUUUUGGAAUUAUUCAACCCUUACCCAAUUUACCUUUUACUCAAAUUUACUCAAAUUUUCUUAUAAAAUAAUUUUAUUUAAGUUCAAAUACCACAAUUAAAUUUUGCUGAAUUUAAAUUUAAAUUAUUAAUUUGGAUAUACAAAAAAUUUGGAAAUACAAAAUAAAAUUGUACAAAUAUUUACAAUUAUACUUAAUUCCAUCAACUAAAUGCAAUCUUUAAUCCAGAAACAUAAAAAAAUAUAAACUGAAAUAUUUCACAAAAUAAAAAUAUAAAAAAUUGAAGGAGUGGAGUAACUCAUAUUUUAUAGUUGUAAUAAGAGGUUUGUCAUACCCAAAUUAAGCAAGUCAGAACAAAUAAUUAUUUUUAUAAUCAUCGUUAACUCCACAUCUCCAUUUUUCAUUUUUUUAAAAGAAAAAAUUAAAUCAACUUAUUUUACUAAUUAUUUAAUCUUUUUAUAUUAUUUUAUUCCAACAUAAUGCAAAUUAUUUAUCUAAAUUUGACUUUAGGUAUGAAAUUUUUUUUCUUUUUUUUUAUAGAAUGAGAAUUCAAACUUAAUUUUUGCAAAGAAGAUAAAUUAAUGUCUAUAUUCUAUAAUCAAAUAAUCAAGUAAGAAAUAUAUAUAUAUAUAUAUAUAUAUAUAUAUAUAUUAACAUCAUAAAUCUUUUACAUUUAAAUAUUUGGCUUAUUAAUAAGUAUAUCUAUCAUCUACUUAAAGAUUUGUAAUUUUGAAAUUUUUUUUAAUUUAAACCCUCAACAUCUCAAUUUUGUUCAAUUUAAUCCUAGUAUUAUACAUUUUUAUUUAAUUUAAUCCUUAUGAUGUGGCACAAAAAAAUUUUUGAAAAUUUUUUAAUUUGUCAUGUGGCACUGACACAUCAGCAUGUCAAUGCCACAUCAACAUUGCCAUGCCAUCAUAUUAGUGCCAUGUGGCAUUGCCACAUAAUCAAGUUGGUAUCAUGUGGCAUGCCACAUCAUCAAAAUAUACCACGUCAGUAUUGAUGUUAUUCCUUUUAAAGACAAAAUUGGAUGUUGUUAGGAUGAGGAACUAAAUUAAAGCAAGUUUCAAAAUCAAGAGAUUAAAUUACUUCGAUUUUAAGUAUAGGGAUUAAAUUAAAUAAAAUGCAUGAGUACAAGGACUUGGUGGGCAUUUUGACCAUACUUUUAUUACGUUUAAUCAAGUCCUUAUAUUUUUAUUAUGAACCAAAUAAACCCUUAUAUUUUUAUUUUAAGUCAAAUAAAUUCUUAUGACUAAUUAUUAAUGACUUAAUCAAAAUGUCAUUUGUUAUUUUAUACCAUAUGACACCGACAUGACAUGCUAACAUGUUAUAAUUGAUGAUGAUAUGGCAUGUUGACAUAUCAUAAUUGAUAAUGACGUGAUAUGCUAAUUAAAUAUUAUAAUAUGAUUAUAUAACAUUUUUCACUCUUCACAUUAACAGCAUAUUAAUAGCAUAUGGAUAUAAAAUGAUGAGUGGCAUUUUAACAAAUAACAAUUAGCCAAUCAUUAAUCAUAAAGGUUUAUGUGAUUCAAAAUAAAAGUAUAAUCACUUAAUUGAACACAAUAAAAGAAUAAUGAUUUAUUUAUAUAUUUUUUAAUAACUUAAGAGUUUAUUUGAACAUUAUGUCUUUUGUUAAUGAAAACUUAUAGAAUAUUUAAAAGUUUUUUUAAACAAGUCACCAUCAAUGUACAUGACAACUUUUUCUAUCUAAUUAAAUUUGACCAAGUAAAUAGGUGCCAAAUUCCAAUUUACUUUAACAUGGUGAUGGUCGGCUGUGACUAAUUACAGCAUGAAAGCAGAGCCGUGUAUAAGUAUUCCCUCCCACUGGUCAAGCUCUAGCAACCUAGAAGGUUUUAACAUAUUUGAACGAACAGGGCUCCAUGAAAAAGGGGAAAAAUAGAGAAUAAUGAAGGUUAUAAAGGUACUACCGUACAAACUUUUUGAAAAAGUAUGAAACAAACAAAGGGGUAUUUUAAAAAAUGAUCUUUAAAGAUAAGAUAUUUUUAAAAAUAGUACUAUUUAUAAGUUUAAUUAUUUUUAGUUAAGUUAGAUAAAAUUACUCUUAAUGAAGUUGCACGCUAUGAUGUUACACGCUAUGUACAAAAAUAUGUGACACGUCAUGUACAAAAACUUAUGACAAGUUAUGGUUAAUUUGUUACACAUUAUGUAUAAAAACCUGUGACAAGCCGUGGUUAGCGUGUUACACGCUAUGUACAAAAAUAUAUGACACGUUACGUACAAAAACUUGUAACAAGCCGUGAUUAGCGUGUUACACGUUAUGUACAAAAAAUAUGUGACAAGCCAAGUACAAAAUCUCGUGACAAAUUAUGGUUAGCUUGUUAUAUGCCAUGUACAAAAACUCGUGACAAGUUAAGGUUAGGUUGUUACACGUCAUGUUGAAAAAAAAUACUGUUAUUACACGCCAUAUAAAAAAACAUGUACAUUGCCAUGGUUAAAAAAGGUUAUUACACGUCAUGUUGAAAAAAAAAUAUUGUUGUUACACGUCAUGUUAAAAAAAUAUUAUUGUUACACGACAUAUUCAAAAACAUUUUGUUAUACUUUAAUGUUUAAAAUGUUGUUGUUGUUACUUACGAACGAAAACUUUAAAUCCUCUCAACUUUUUUUUUUGUUUUUCUGACAAUUUGGCACAAAUUAAAGUGUUUCUAACAUGUUUUUAUAAAUCAAAAUACAAAUGUUUUUUUAUCUAAAAUACUUACUUUGACUAAAAAAAAAAUCUUUGAAAACCUAGAUUUAUAAAUUUCAAAAUUUUGAGUUUAUUGGUAUCUAGAUCCCGAAUUGAUUCAAUUAAAAACUAUUUUAUACAUUUGUAAUUAUUUUUACAGUUUUAUUUUUAUCCAAAAUACUUAAAAAUCGAAUUUCUCAAACAGUCACCUACUACCCAAGCACGUCAAAACCAUUGCUUGGUGUCUUGAAAGCAUAAGAAAGAGAAAUCUAAAAACACGGGAGAGAGAAAUCGGAAGCAUAACAGAUGAAUGUCGAAUAGAAAAAUCGAUAAAAUUUGAGAGACUGUGAUGGUGAGAGAAAAAUCCGAAGCACAGAUGAGAAGUAAUAGGGAGAAAUUGUAAUGAAUGGUUUAAUUUAUUUGAAAUAGUUUAAAGGGUAUUUUCGUCAAUUCAUGACUAAAUAUGAGUAAAAACAGUUAAACUUAUUUUGAUGGUUACUUUUAAAAUGUCUUUAUAAAGAAAGGUCAUCUCCCACAAUUUUCUCAACAAAAAUUAUUAUAUAUGUAUAUAAUUAGUGGUAAUAAAAUAUCAAGCUAUAUUGAAAAUUUUGGCAUAAUAAUGUGCCCCAUUGAUUCCAAAUAUCCAGCAUCCAGUGGAAAAGCUCGUCACGAACACAUUCAUUGGCAGGACAAAAUCCACCAAACUAUCACCUUGUUUCCGAAGAAUUUUUAUCAAGAAAGCAGUGAGCUUCAAGGGUGCAGCGACAGUGAUUGGACUAGUUCCAUUGAUGAUUCCAAAAGCACUUGCAGAUUCUGUUUCUCUUUUGAAAGUGUAGUCUUCACCUGGAAUUCAAAGAAACAGGAAUUAGUAGCUCAAUUAUUAGUUGAGGUUGAGCAUAUUACUGCUGCUUUAGCUGCUAACCAUGCUCAAUGGUUAAGAAAGAUUUUAUCCAAUGUGGGAUUCAAUCAAGACAAAUGAACCAUAUUGAAGGUUGAUAAUCAAUCUGCUAUAAUCAUAGCAAAAAGUCUUAUUCAGUAUGAUCAAAUUAAACACAUUCGAGUUAAAUUUCAUAUUUUGCGAGAUAUAUUGAAAGAAUAGGAAAUUCGAUUGGAAUAUUGUCACAUAGACCUCCAGUUGGCAAAUAUUCUCACUAAAAGUCUGAGCAAAGACAGAUUCGAAUUUUUAAGGAAUGAAUUGGGUGUUUACCAGACAGGGAUCAAGGAGGGGUGUUGAGAACUUUGAUCCCAAUCUGGUUCAGUUUAGAAGGGAAGGGAGUUUGGCGGGAAUGAACAGAUUCAAGACAGGAAGGAGACUUAAACGAUGCCGUUUUAACUUCACUAAUUGGGCUGUUUUAAGCUGCAAGCAAAACGCUGAGGGAUGGCACCGUUUAGACAAAAUAAAUCCUUUUUUUAAACGCAAGUCCUUAUGUCGUUUAGUUUAUAAGCUUGUUAAUUGGCUGUUAAAGCCACGUGUUCUUUCUUCUUUCUAUAGUUUUUUGUUGGUUUGUUACUUUCUCGAUGGCGGUGUUGCUGAGCAUCAAAUUCUGUGACGAAUUUGUUGCUUUUUUCUAUGUUUUCUGAAUCCAAAAGAAUUUGUACAGAUGGCAAUAUUUUCUACUUAGUAUUUAACUAAGAAAUGAAAAGAGAAAAGUGUGUGAAGCAUUUUCUUUAUUUUGUUUCAUUUUCAAGUUUUUCCUUCUUCUCCUUUUGCUUCUCUGCAAAUCUCUUACGUUCAUUACUCUCUGGAAUAUUGAUAAACAUUCAAUAGACAGGGAGACCCACUCCUUUGUACAAGCAUCAGAUAUCAUUGGUAGAGAUUAAGACAAAGAAAAAAUCAUAAAACGUUUGCUGCAAGAUCCAAUUGAUGAGGAAGAUAUAUCUGUCCUUCCUCAAACGAAAAUGAAGAGCCUCAAGACAUUGGUAGGCAUUAUUUGAAUGAGUUAUCAUCAUGAUCUUUUUUUAAGAUUUUUAUAAAGAUUUAUCUGUCCAGUAUUUUAAAAUGGAUGAUUUUUUACUUGAUCUUGUAUUAUCAGCUGUAAACAUUUACAUAUAUUGUCUAGAAUAAUGAUGAUAUUUCCAUUUAAACUUACUAAUUACAUUAUCAGUUUUUUUAUAUUGAUUCAUUUGAACUCCCACUUAUGAUGCAUCCAGAACAAUUAAUCCAUUUUUAUUGAUUGAAGCCCCAUUAAAGUUUUGGCCCAUCAAAUCCAAACACAGCUUGGUAGCACAAAAUUCAUUUCUUUUUUGAUUUAUAUGAUGCAAGUUGUAUAGCAAAUUGUUGUAUUUUAGUAUUUAAUGGAUAUGAGGUUUGCACUUGGAAGCACGACACCCAACUACUCUGCUCUUUUCCAAGUCAACGUCUAAUUUUCCUUGCAUCUUUCUCUUUUCCCAGCUGCUUCUUUCCUUUGUGAUCGACCUGCGUUAUUGCUUGACGAUUGUCGGUAGAAACAGACACCAUUUCGUAGAAAUUCUCUUCCUCUCCAACAGUUUCUUUCUUUCUUUUCCUCCUUGUUUAAUGCCAUCAAUAAACCUCAUCAGCAGAAGACUUAGCACAAUUUCCCCCCACCAAAAAUGGUUGAAUCCUUCGCAUUUAACAUUGCUGAAAAUGUCCUCUCGAAACUAGCCAAUAUUGCAUAUCAAGAAAUUCGCCUUGCUUGGGGUGUCCAGAGUGACCUUGAAAAGCUUAAGACGACUUUAACUACCAUCAAAGCUGUGCUUUUAGAUGCUGAAGAAAAACAGGCUCAUGACAAUCAGCUGCGGGUUUGGCUUCAAGAGCUUAGGGAUGCCUGUUAUGAUGCAGAUGAUGUGUUGGAUGAAUUUGAAAUCGAAGCACUGCGGAAGCAAGUUGUGAAACAGAGGAGUGUAGGAAAGAAGGUAAGUCAUUUCUUUUCAAGCUCAAACCCACUUGCUUUUCGGUUUAAGAUGGGACAUAAGAUUAAAAAAGUUACUGAGAGUUUCGUUGAGAUUGCAGCUUUGAAAAAUAAUUUUCAUCUCAUUGAGAGACAUGAUGGCCCUGGGCAUGUGGUGCGCCUGGACAGGGAGACCCACUCCUUUGUGCAGGCAUCGGAGGUCAUUGGCAGAGAUGAAGAGAAAGAGAGAAUCAUAAAAAUGUUAAUGCAAGAUCCAGCUGAUGAGGAAGACAUUUCCGUCCUUCCCAUAGUUGGAAUCGGAGGUCUUGGGAAGACCGCCCUUGCGAAAUUGGUAUUCAAUGAUGGAAGGGUAGAUAUGCAUUUUGGGUUGAAAAUGUGGGUGUGUGUUUCAGAUGAUUUUGAUCUGAAACGAUUAGUUCUGAAAAUCAUUAAAGCUGGAAAGGAGGGUGAUGGAGACCUUGGUAACAUGAAUUUGGAGCAAUUACAGAAGGUGUUACGAGAUUGUUUGAAGGGUAAUAAAUAUUUACUCAUCUUAGAUGAUGUGUGGAGUGAGGAUAAUAGAAAAUGGCAAGAACUGAAACAAUUGUUAGUGGGAGGAGCUAACGGAAGCAAAAUUGUGGUCACCACUCGCAGUAACCAAGUUGGAAAGACGGUCGGUACAAUCCCUCCGCACAAGUUGGAAGGUCUUCCUUAUGACCAAUCUUUAUCUUUGUUUCUCAAAUUUGCAUUCAAGGGAGGAGAAGAGAAACAACAUCCGAACCUUGUAAAAAUUGGGGAAGAAAUUGUUAAAAAAUGCAAAGGGGUUCCUUUGGUUGUGAAGACAUUGGGGAGUUUACUUUUCUCCAAAAUUUCAGAACAUGAGUGGAAACUUGUGAAAGAUAGUGAGACGUGGGAAUUAAUGGAAAAAGAAAAUGAAAUAUUUUCUGUUCUAAAACUAAGUUAUGAUCAACUACCUCCUCAUCUGAAGCAAUGUUUUGCUUAUUGUUCACUCUUUCCAAAGGAUUAUGGAUUUAAUGAAUUUGACACAGUCCAAUUUUGGAUGGCUCAUGGUCUUAUUCAGACCUCCAAAAACAAUGAAGAUCUGGAGGAUAUUGGGAGGCAGUAUUUGAACGAUCUACUGUCAAGGUGUUUUUUCCAAGAUUAUGAGUAUGGUCUUGAUUUUAUUGAAUUUAAAAUGCAUGAUCUUUUACAUGAUCUUGCACUAUCAGUAGCAAAAAAUGAGUGUUGUACAAUAAAUGCUUCCAAGCAAAAUAUUGUCCAGGGAGUUCGACAUUUGUGCCUUACUAACUGUGAUUCUCCUGGAGAAAGUGACUUUAAAUUACUUAAUAAAGUAAGACAUUGGCGCUCAUUUAGGUGUGCAGAUACGAAUAUAGGUCCUACCAACAAAUCCUUUAUUGAAGCAUGCCUCAAGAGGUUCCAACAUUUGCGGGUGCUUGAUUUAGAAGGAUCUAAUCUCGAGGUAUUGCCCAAAAGGAUUGGGGAUUUGAAGCAUUUAAGGUAUCUCGACCUAUCCAACAAUCACAACAUCAAGAAACUUCCGAACUCCAUCUGUAAGUUGCAAAAUUUGCAAACCCUAUAUCUUGAUGGUUGUGACAAACUUGAAGAGUUGCCUAGAGAUAUGGGAUACUUAAUCAGUCUUAGAGCUUGGACAUUAACUACAAACCAAAAGCUUCUACGGGGAUUAGAAUGCUUGAAAUCUCUUCGAUAUUUGUGUAUCCGUGACUGUAAAAAUCUGGAAUAUUUGUUUGAAGGGAUUGAGAACCUCACAUCACUUCAAUUAUUAGGUAUUUAUGGUUGCAGAAACUUGAUAUCACUGCCAUAUGGUUUGAAAUAUCUAACUGCAUUACAUACUCUAAUAAUUGGGGAUUGUGAAAAGCUUGAUCUGAAUACGACAGUGGGACUCAAAGAGAAAGAAGAUGAUAAUCAAGACUACCUUGUUGGUAGUGGUUUGUGUCUUCAAACAUUAGGGAUCGUUGGACCGUUACCAAAGCUGGAGGCUCUACCCCAAUGGCUUCUACAAGGAUCUGCCAAUACUUUAAAGCACCUGACAAUUGGAGGAUGUGAGAACCUCACGACCUCACCAGAGUGGAAAAAUCUUACAUUACUUGAAAAGCUUGAGAUUAUGGAUUGCCCAAAAUUAUCAACUCUGCCAGAAAAGAUGCAGCGCCUCAAAAAACUGUGGAUUAAAGAUUGUCCUGUUUUGAGUGAAAGAUGCAAACCGGAAAGCGGAGAGGAUUGGCCCAACAUUGCUCAUGUCUCUCGUAUAUAUCUGGACGGUGAUGAAGUUUCAUCUAAACAAUCAUCGGCCCCAUGAUUUGGUAAGACCUAAUAUUUUUCUCUCUUCUUCUUUUGUUUUCGUUUUUGUAAUUUGCUUUCCUUCGUUCCAUAUUUUGUAUUUGAAACGUAAAAAGAAAUAACAUAUAAAAUCGAGUAACGUUUUUUUUUUUUUUGUAAAACAUGCCAGAUAGAUCGAUGAUAUAUAAAAGUGUUUUUUAAACCUGUAGAACUUUUAAAUUUUACUAUUUUUUUUUUGUACAAAACUUCUAUAUUUUGGACCACUAUUUUUAGUCUAUAAAUCCCAUUUAAGAUUCAUAACUAGUUAUGAUCAGCUAGGUGGUAGUGAUAUGUUACAUGCCUAGUUAUUAAUAUCACUAUUAUUUCACAAGGAACCAAAAACAAAAUUAAAUAUCUGAACAUUUGUAUCAAUAGAAAGGGUAUAUAUCUUUUAAUGUAAAAGUUAAGUGUGUGAAUAUUCUUUUCCUCGCCAAAAAGAAAAAAAAAUCAAAAUCUUUAAACUAUGAUGGGGUUUAUUUUCAUUUGAAAUUGUUUUUGUGGUUGUUGGUCUUUUAUUAUUUAUUGUUUUCAUUUUAUAAAAAUGAAGCACAAAAUAUACUUUCAAAAAUUUUUAAAAUAUAUAUAUAUUCAUCUUUGGAUAAUAAAAGAUAUUAGUAUUCCCCUUCCCCCAAAAUAAAAAAAAAAGAUUAUGUUCACAUUUAUCAUGUUUUAAUAAUUUUUUUAGGCAGCAAUUGGUAUUGCUCUUAAUUUUGUUUUAUUUUCAUUGAAAUAUAUUAAUUGAAGCUUUUACUAGCUAGCAGCCUAGUACUUCCUUGACACUGUUAUGUUAUGAAAAAACCAUUGAAGCAAAUAGUAGAUGGUAAAAAGUGAAAAAAAGUAACAUUCUUUUGUGAGAGUAAUUGGAAAAAGUUACAUUUAAUUUGGGAAAUUUCCUAAUUUGGCUUGUGAAUGGGUGGCAGGGCAUAUCUCCAUUUUAUUGGUAUUGGGACUGGAUGGAAGUACAGUUGCUGUAAUCCCUGAAAUAGAGUGGAGGGGGUGUGCUUGGGCUUGGCUUCUCAUUUCUCCUACUUGUUGGCUUGUAUUAUGUCUACCUACUUGUGUUAUGAACAUACAUACUUGAUGUUUGUUAAUGUACUUAAAUUCCUUUGCUUUGGAUUGUUCAUGUGAUCCCUACUCUUUAUUUGUUGGUUUGUUGUAUUGCCUUUGGAUUCAAAAUUUGGUUUGUUUUGGUUUGGUUGGGUGAUCUAUGUUUAUAUAUAUUUAGUUUUUCUCCAAAAUAACUUCUUUAAUUCUUAAAUGCCUUCUACUUGACAUUUUGUUGUUUUAAAGGUUAUAAUUCCUUUAAAAAAAAGGAAAAUUGAAUGAAUAAAAGACUAAUGCAUGUGAUAAAUUAUAUUUUAAUGCUUUAUUUUUAUGAAGAAGAAAGAGGAUUUACACGUAAAUAUUUAUGUACAUAUACUAAAAGUAUAAUAUAUAAACAAAAAAAGAGAUAACAAUUGAGAUUAUCAAAUACAUGUUAGGUCUAAUUUUUUAAAUAUAUUUAAUUUAGAUAACUUGAAAACACGUAAAUAUCAUAUUGGUUUGAAAACUUAAAUGAGUUUGCACUUGAUAAUUUGAUUUAAUAGUGAGAUAUAUUUUAUCUUUGUUACAAAGAGUUAAGUUCAAAUUUUACAUUUUAAUUUUAUAAAAAAUAAUUUAAUAAUUGAUUUGUUAAAAUAUUAUUUUAUAUUAAAAAUGUAAAAAAUUAUUUUAAAAAAAAAGAAGGACGGGUUUCAUUUUUAGAGUAGGAUUGCAAAAAGAAUAAACAAAAAAAUCUGCGGGCCGAGGGCCCGAGACACACAGAUACAAAAAUACAAGUCCGGGGAAAAGUAAAGCAGAGAGGGGCCGCAGCCAUGGAAGAGACGAAGAGAGAAAUGAAGAACGAAACAGAAAAGAUAUGCAAGAGAUGCAAGCAGAGCUACACUACGUCUUCUAAUACUUCCGCUUCUUACCGUUUCCACCCUUCUUUCUUUGUUUGUCGUCGUCAUGACGACCAAAUUUUAUCUACCUACUUGUGUUAAUGACAUAUAUAUUUGAUGUUUGUCGAUGUACUUAAAUUCCUUUACUUUGGAUUGUUCAUGUGAUCCCUACUCUUUAUUUGUUGGUUUGUUGUAUUGCCUUCAGAUUCAAAUUUUGGUUUGUAAUAUGUUUAUGUUUAGUUUUUCUCCAAAAUAACUUCAUUAAUAAUUCUUAAAUGUCUUCUACUUUCAACUUUCAAGGUUGAGAUUUUGUGGUUUUAAAUGUUAUAAUUCCUUCAAAACAAAUUUUCUCCAUUUACUAAUUUAAUUAUAAUUACAUUGUGUUGUAAUCUCUUUCCUUUCAAACUAAACAGAAAUCUUUGGUUCUUUUCCAUUCCCUAAUUCAAUCAAUUACUGUCAAUGUAAAUUUAUUCCAUUGAACUUAACUUUUGCUUGCAAGUUCAGGAUCUGAAAUGGUAGUAGUCAUGCUUAUUUCAUGGAUUUUUUUUUAAGAAAAAAAGGAAAUUUGAAUGAAUAAAAUACUAAUGCUUGUGAUAAAUUAUAUUUUAAUGCUUACUUUUUCUUUUAUGAAGAUGAAAGAGGAUUUACACAUAAAUAUUUACAUACAUAUAUACACCAAAAGUACAACACAUAAAUAUAAAAAAGAGAUAACAAUUGAGACUAUCAAAUACAUGUUAAAUCUCUUUUUUUUUUUACAAAAGUUAAGUUAAAUUUUUUAAGUAUAUUUAGUUUAGGUAACUCGUAAACACGUAAAUAUCAUAUUGAUUUGAAAACUUAUAUGAGUUUGCACUUGAUUAUUUGAUUUAACAGUGAGAUGUACUUUAUUUUUGUUUCAAAGAGUUAAGUUCAAAUUUUACUUUUUAAUUUUAUAAAAAAAUAAAAUUAUGGGAUUAUGAAUAUAUUAUUAAAUUUAAUAAUUGAUUUGUUAAAAUAUCAUUUUAUAUUAAAUGUAAAAAUUAAAAACAAAAUACAACAUUAUAUAAGUUAAUCACAAAUCUGGUCUUCUACUUUUGUGGGGAUUGCAACGGGAAUAAACAUGAAAAUCUGUGGGCCGAGAGCCCGAGACACACAGAUAGACAAAUACAAGUCCAGGAAAAAGAAAAAAGCAGGGAGAGGCUGCAGCCAUGGAAGAGAAGAAGAGAGAAAUGGAGAAAGAAACUGAAAAGAUAUGCAAGAGAUGCAAGCAGAGCUACGCUGGGUCUUCUAACACUUCCGCUUCUUGCCGUUUCCAUCCUUGUUUCUUUGUCUGUCAUCGUCAUGACGAAUAAAAGAGGCAAUGACGAAGUCAGAAUUUUGUGUUGGGUGGGAGACGAAAAGCCGAAGACAAUAUAAAGCAACUUACAUGAUAAAAUUCAUAUAAAAAUAUAUAAAUAUUUUUAUAUUUUAGAACCGUUGUAGUGUCCAUUGAAAAGCACAGAAUUCCAAGUCCAGAAUCCUGUGCUUAGCUGUUAUUCCUCAGCACUUCACUCUCAUAUACAGAAGUUUAUGCUUCCAAGACGUUUUUUGACAGCUCUAAGAAGAGGCGAAUAACAUGGGGCUGGAUAGCAGAGAUGGAUGGUGAUGCAAAUGCCCUUGAGAAAGGAUGGGUCGGGGUUUCAGGUAAUCCAACUUGAAUUUUUAUAUUCACUCUUAUUAGCUCUCCGGUUCAUCACUCGUUUAAUAUAUAUAUUCAUAUAUGAAAAUUGACAGUACUCAUUUUGCAAUGCAAUCUGUGUUGACAGUCAAUUCCUAGAAGCAUUCUGCUCAGUAAAACUGGAAAGCAAUUGAUUCAAUGGCCAAUCAAAGAGAUUGAGACUCUUCGUGCGGAGAAUGUAAGCAUCCAGUCGAAGCAGCUGAAGGGUGGAUCAGUUCUUGAAGUUUUGGGAGUAACAGCUUCACAGGUAACAAGUUUAAUCCUAAUUAACAAUUAUACCUGUCCCCAAAUCAUACACUUGGAAGGAUAAUUAUGUUGAUUUUUCCAUGUGCAGGCCGAUGUAGAAGUAGCAUUUGAUUUAACCAAUUUGAAGGAGGCUGAAUUCAUGGUCCCAGAUGGGGUUGAUCCUCGAGCACUCGGUAGCCAACAGACAGCAUCAUUUCGAGGCAUGGUUGGGCCAUUUGGAUUACUAGUUUUAGCUUCUCAAGGUUUGACAGAGCAAACUGCGGUCUUCGUUCGCAUCUUCAGAAGCCGUGGAAAAUAUGUUGUGCCCAUGUGUAGUGAUCAAAGCAGGUUCAGUUUUUAUUCCAUGCUUUUUGUGACUGUUAAUUUGAGUUGCUUCAUUUCCUCCUGAUUUGAAGUCAGACUCAAAUUCAGAUUACAAAUUUUAACAGGUCUACAUUUAGGGAAGGCCCAGACAAGACCACCUAUGGAGCUUUCAUUGACAUAGACCCCCGUCAGGAGAAGAUUACACUAAGAACCUCGGUUCGUUGCCUACUUAAAACAUAUGAUUCAUUUUAGAACUUUGUCUCAAUAUUCAAACCAUUUUACGUCCUGGACUUUACUCACAAUUAAAUUUAUACAUUGAUUUCACCAUUGCAGAUAGAUCAUUCGGUUGUAGAAAGUUUCAGUGGGAAGGGAAGAGCCUGCAUUACCGCUAGAGUUUAUCCAGCUCUGGCCGUAGACAGCCAAGCUCACCUGUACGUAUUCAAUAACGGAACCGUGGAUGUCACAAUCUCAAGGCUCGAUGCCUGGAGCAUGAAGAAAGCUCAACUUGUUUCUGCCAAUAUAUAGAAAACCCCAUAUCAAUAGACAAUGUAAUUUUGAAUAAGGCUGGACAGAUCAUUGAUUGCUCUCCAUUUGUACACAAAGUCUCUUGUGCAAUAACAGAG